GAGGGUAUAGCUCAGUGAUGGAGCACAUGCUCUGCAUGCAGGAGGUCUUGGGUUUGAUUCCCAGCACCUCCA
rnacentral:tRNA from 1 species